CUUGAGCGCAGCACCAACACAGAGGCUGGGUAUAAGAAGAACCAGAAUUGCCCCUACUUCCUGAGGAGACAGAGGUCUUUUGGAGUGUGCAGGCCUCUCCUUCAACAUCAUCUACCAGUCUGUUGUCACCAGUACAAUCAUCUAUGUGGUGAUGUGCUGCGGCAAUGGCAUCAAUGGUGUGAUACCGACAGGUUCAAUAAACUGAUCUGAAAGGCUGGCUCUGUUAUAGGAAUCAAACUGGACACACUGGAGGCUGUGGUAGAAGAAAGGACCCUACGAAAAUCCUGCAAACCAGAGACGCAGGAAGAAUGGACAGCAAAUCUUUAUAAACUGACUCAUGGGAGCAAGAAGUGGAUACCACAAGAGGGAUUGUGUUGAGUGACUGCUGAGAUUGGCUGAUCUUGUAACUGGAACUGGAUGGGCCAUUUUGGCAGCAUGGAGCUGUGCACUGAUCUGGUCAUAUUCGUCCUGAGCAAAUUCUUUAUAAGCGACACAGAGUGUUCUUAAGCCAUCCUGAAAUUAUGCAAUUGCAGCACAAGUCAUCCAACAGGUGUGUGGGAGGGAGCAGAGGUGUGGCAGGCACACUGGAGUUCAUGCUGAGUUGGGGCUGGCCCCUGCUCUCAGUGCUGCUCGGUGGAAGACAAGUUGGAUUGUGUUUGUUGGCACAAGCGCAAGAUGAUCAGACUGCCUUGGGCCUGCUCUUGCCGACACCAUCUUGCUCCAUCAAUCUACAUAACACGACAUUCAGAGACUUGAGCUUUUUCUUGUGUUUACUGCUAACUUAUAAGUGCUCUAAGUGUCUUGUGGCAUGUGUGACCAUUGGUAAUGUCUUUUCUACCUUGACCCCAGAGGAACACUAUCUUGUUUGGCUGUAUUCAUGGAU